rnacentral:rRNA from 1 species
AGUCUGCAACUCGACUGCACGAAGCUGGAAUCGCUAGUAAUCGCGGAUCAGCACGCCGCGGUGAAUACGUUCCCGGGCCUUGUACACACCGCCCGUCACACCAUGGAAGUCUGCAAUGCCCGAAGCCGGUGGCCUAACCACUUAUGUGGAAGGAGCCGUCUAAGGCAGGGCAGAUGACUGGGGUGAAGUCGUAACAAGGUAGC